AGUAUCUACAGAAAGUGGAUGAGAAGAAAGCGGUCAGUUACUAAAAUCUAUUGAAUAUCAGAGUAAUUUUUCUACAAUCUCCUGUUCAACAAAGAAACGCAAACAUAAAAUUGAUGGCUAUCCUUCGGAGAUGGUACACGACGUCAUUCACUCACACAACCUUCCUUCAUGCAAUAGAUAAAGAGGCUUCGCUGAAAAAGAUGGAGAAUGACAUCGUCCUCUCAUACCGACUCUCCGUAGUCAUUUGAUACAGCCAUAGAGGAAGCCUGUGAGAACUGGAAUCAAUAUACAUUGGAGAAACUUCUAGGAGUUUAGCGGAGAGACUAGACAUGGUAGAAGUACAAUGACAGGAAACAGAUCUUUUCCUUUUCAUGGGCAGCUUGAUUAAUUAAUUUUCUUUAACUAAAUACUUUGAAACUUCGGAUACUGGUAGAAUGUGUCAUAUAGAACAUCUUUUACUCUUAGCGUUGUUGAGAAAAGUUUCUAUUUACGAAGUUAUUUCGUGUUAAAGUUGUUGUAUUUCGGUAAUUUCAACCAAUCAAUGAUGUGUAUUCAGCUGAAUAAAAUUACUGCUGUUGUUUGUCAGCAACAACUUC